AAGACCUUGCGCUUUUGGAGCGGCCGAUGUCUGAUUAGCUUGUUGGUAAGGUAAAAGCUUACCAAGGCUUCGAUCAGUAGCUGGUCUGAGAGGACGGCCAGCCACACUGGGACUGAGACACGGCCCAGACUCCUACGGGAGGCAGCAGUGGGGAAUUUUGGACAAUGGGGGCAACCCUGAUCCAGCCAUGCCGCGUGAGUGAAGAAGGCCUUCGGGUUGUAAAGCUCUUUCAGCCGGAACGAAACGGUUACGGUUAAUACCCGUGACUACUGACGGUACCGGAAGAAGGAGCACCGGCUAACUACGUGCCAGCAGCCGCGGUAAUACGUAGGGUGCAAGCGUUAAUCGGAAUUACUGGGCGUAAAGCGUGCGCAGGUGGUUUUGUAAGUCAGAUGUGAAAUCCCCGGGCUUAACCUGGGAACU
rnacentral:rRNA from 1 species